rnacentral:tRNA from 1 species
GUCCGGGUAGUGCGUCUGCCUUGUAAGCGCUAGGCCGCGGGUUCGAUUCCCGCCCGGGGCG